CGAGUAGGGCGGGACACGUGAUAUCCUGUCUGAAUAUGGGGGGACCAUCCUCCAAGGCUAAAUACUCCUGACUGACCGAUAGUGAACCAGUACCGUGAGGGAAAGGCGAAAAGAACCCCUGUGAGGGGAGUGAAAUAGAACCUGAAACCGUGUACGUACAAGCAGUAGGAGCACCUUCGUGGUGUGACUGCGUACCUUUUGUAUAAUGGGUCAGCGACUUAUAUUCAG
rnacentral:rRNA from 1 species